UACGAAGGGGGCUAGCGUUGUUCGGAAUUACUGGGCGUAAAGCGCGUGUAGGCGGGUCUUUAAGUCAGGGGUGAAAUGCCAGGGCUCAACCUUGGAACUGCCUUUGAUACUGGAGAUCUUGAGUCCGGGAGAGGUGAGUGGAAUUGCGAGUGUAGAGGUGAAAUUCGUAGAUAUUCGCAAGAACACCAGUGGCGAAGGCGGCUCACUGGCCCGGAACUGACGCUGAGACGCGAAAGCGUGGGGAGCGAACAGG
rnacentral:rRNA from 1 species